rnacentral:rRNA from 1 species
AUGCAGAUCUUCGUGAAGACGCCGACGGGGAAGACGGUGACCCUGGAGGUCGAGAGCACCGACACCAUCGGCAGCGUCAAGGCCAAGAUCGACGGCGAGGAAGGCUUGUUACCGGAGCAGCAGCGGCUCAUCUUCGGUGGGAAGCCGCUGGAGGACGACCGCAGCCUGGCCGAGUACGACGUCCACAAGGACUCCACUCUGCACCUGCUGCUUCACCUGCCCGGGGGGGUUUGGUGCAUCGAAGACAGCCUCAGAGACCUCGCAGAAGACUACAACGUAAACAAGAAGAUCUGCUGCAAGUAA